CGACGUGCAAUUUAUUUACAACAACCACAGUGACACAACUAGAACAAUUGAAAUAGUCAGCCACCAGCAACAUAGUUAGAUGGAACUGGCGCCUUUUAUACUGUGUCCCUGGUGGUCUACCUUGCAUCAUACCAUUGACAGGUAUGCUCCAUUUCUGCUCCCAAGUGAAAUUAUUCCAUCAGGACAUAAUUUCUAAUUUUAGCAAAAUAUUUACAAUGGUGUUCUCCUGUCAUUCACCUCCCAACAAACAUAAACCCCAAAAACACAAUUACACCCAAUAUAUUUAACAUACAAAUUCACCCAGAUCCCCUCUACCUAAUCCGCCACUUGGUCCCUCCCGGAACGUUCUUUACCCUGUUCGUACGCCGGGGACUUCUUUCGGCCGAAAACGGGAGCAGACACAAGAUCGGACCGGUAGAGCCCAGCGCCGGUCACCCGACACCUGUAUUGUGACAUGUUCAAUACAUAUGCCAUGUAACCAAUCUACACUUACUACUCAAGAUGCAAAUAUCCUGUACAACGCUCUGUGAAUAAUAAAGUGCAAAAUGUCGCUGUU